rnacentral:tRNA from 1 species
GCUCUGGUGGCUCAAGCGGAUAGAGCGUUGGACUUCUAAUCCAAAGGUUGCGGAUUCAAGUCCCGCCCAGAGUA